GUAAAAACAUUGAAGAGGAAGAGUACUUAUAUAAUCAAAACGCAGAGAGAGAAUGUUUGCUGUAAAUUCUCAUGAGAUAUAUUUGGAAAGUAGCCUUGGAGUUUUUAACCGAAAUCUUUUCUGAGAGUAGGAUUAAACGGAUCGCCUACCGUUAAAAAGGCAAUAAUAUCGGAUUUUCCUGUAUUAUAAAUAAGAGUGUGUAUUUAAUUAUACAAAUUUAGGUGGUACCGCGGUGAUUACAUCUUCGUCCUAUAC
rnacentral:ncRNA from 1 species